GAUGAACGCUGGCGGCGUGCCUAAUACAUGCAAGUCGAGCGAACAGACGAGGAGCUUGCUCCUCUGACGUUAGCGGCGGACGGGUGAGUAACACGUGGAUAACCUACCUAUAAGACUGGGAUAACUUCGGGAAACCGGAGCUAAUACCGGAUAAUAUAUUGAACCGCAUGGUUCAAUAGUGAAAGACGGUUUUGCUGUCACUUAUAGAUGGAUCCGCGCCGCAUUAGCUAGUUGGUAAGGUAACGGCUUACCAAGGCAACGAUGCGUAGCCGACCUGAGAGGGUGAUCGGCCACACUGGAACUGAGACACGGUCCAGACUCCUACGGGAGGCAGCAGUAGGGAAUCUUCCGCAAAGGGCGAAAGCCUGACGGAGCAACGCCGCGUGAGUGAUGAAGGUCCUCGGAUCGUAAAACUCUGUUAUUAGGGAGGAACAAAUGUGUAAGUAACUAUGCACGUCUUGACGGUACCUAAUCAGAAAGCCACGGCUAACUACGUG
rnacentral:rRNA from 1 species